CUUUGCCAGCUGACCUUCUUCUGUUCCAUUUUUAGAUCACCACCAGCUGCAGUGACCUCUGACAGAUCAAACGUGUAAGCGAUACUGAAAGAGUGAAGCCUUAAGUGAAGCUACAUUUCUCCACAGUGGCCAGUUUCUACUGCGUAGACAUGCACUAUGCUGUGGAGGUUUGGACUGGACAAGUGUUUGUGUAUGGAUAAACCCACCAGUCCCCCUUAUGGAGACAAAGACAGAACCACACUCCUGACUUAUUUGGAUGACACAAUGCUCACACUCGAAAGUCUCUGCAGUUCUACAGCUCAUAAUCAGUAAUUUCUUACAGCUGAAACAAGAGGAUAUGGCUUUGUUCCAGGGUGAUAUGGAUCUAGUUUGAUCAAGGGAGACCUCCUGAAACUUGACACAUGUUAUUAUUCAACCAGAAGCAGUCGAGAGAAAAUGAUGUCCAUAUUGCCAAGGUGUGGGAAGCUUUUGGUUAACUGGUGGGUCAUGGAUGUUUCUUAGACUUAAGGGAAUAUAGGAGUAUAGGAGUGAUAAGAUGAAAGGGUAGACUGUUGAAUCUACUAACUAAAAGCAACUAUUAAUUUCAAAUAUUUUGCAUUGGGAUGGUCUUUCAUUUAUUGAUACAAAUUUAAGACAAUUUU